rnacentral:rRNA from 1 species
UACAGAGGUCUCGAGCGUUAGGCGGAAUCACUGGGCUUAAAGCGUGUGUAGGCGGAUCGUUAAGUGCCUUGUGAAAUCCCACGGCUCAACCGUGGAACUGCUUGGCAUACUGGCGGUCUUGAGCAACCUAGGGGCGAGCGGAACAAAUGGUGGAGCGGUGAAAUGCGUAGAUAUCAUUUGGAACGCCAAUGGUGAAAACAGCUCGCUGGGGGUUUGCUGACGCUGAGGCGCGACAGCGUGGGGAGCAAACAGG